UAUUAACAUCUUUGUCUUAAAAACAGUAUUUAUUUCGGAUAAAUACUGACGUAAUAAUUAUUGAACUUAUAGCAUUCACGCGGGUUACACAUUUGGGGUACUCACAACGUGUCUUAAAGCAUCGUAAAAUCACAAAAUCAUAAGUUUUUAUGCUAGUGUAAAAAAAUUGUUGUUGGAUUGCAUACUAAAAUAAGUUUACGGAAAUACAACUAUGAACGCUGUGUAUUCGGUUCGUCAUAACUGAUCAGCUGAUUUCUGUUUACAUCAGGUGGCCUUUGUGUUGUGGUUACAUUUGUGUUUAAAUUUAAUUUUCUUUCAAUUUUCUUUUGUCAAGGGUUUUCGGAAUAAUGGAGCAAUAUAAUGUUAUACAGCUAAUAUAAAAAUGCAUAAUAAAUACAAUUUAACUAAUUAAAUGCGCUUUUAGACAAAAGCAAAGCGGGUGCGUUCCAACCCAACCAGAAAGUGGCUGUUUGAAGAAGAAAAGCCAUUGAUUCAAUAUUUGACACAAAACAGGUAUUUUGAGAAACCAGCGUCUCAAAUGUAUUAUAGACGAUUUUCAAUGGAGAGCAACAUUGCGGUGGACUGGAAGCUGACACGCUCGAAGGUUCGUUAUAUGCGUACAACAUAUAAUAUAACAAAGCAAAAGCAUGGGAAGGCUCAACGGGUGCAGGGAGUAUGGAAGGCGAAACUAUGAAGGAUGAAAUUUUCGGCGGUAGAGUGGUUGAGUCAGCAGUAAUCAACGACAGUUUGGGAACAACGAAAAAAAAAAAUUGAGCAAGAAAUGAGUUUUAAGGAGAAAGAGAUGGAAUUAAGUGAAAGGGAAUUGAUGGUUAAAGAAAAAGAAGUGGAAAAGCAAGAAUUAUUACUAAAAGACAGAGAAAUGGAGAUGAAACUAAAAAAUUGGAAAGUAAUGAAAAAUUAAAAACAAUGGAAAUACAAAUGAAAGAAAGAUUGGCAAUAGAGGAAUUGAAACACAAAUACAAAUAAGUGGAAGAAUUGGAAGAAGUGGUGCAAGAGAAUUUUAAAUUUCCUGAAGUGAAUUAAUGUACCUGAAGUUUAUUUUUAAUAAUUACUUUUUAUAUUAAUUUUUAAAUUAAAAAAAAAAUACAUUUUUACAUAUGAAUACUAAUACUAAUGAACAGUGAAUACACGUUUAAAUAAUGAUGUAUUUUAACUUAAUCCAUGAUUUUGUAUGAAGUCAAGAAGACUAGAUCUUGUGUUACUUCCUGGUGGUAUACUAUAUUGAGGUGGGUUAAUUUCAACGCUUUCUUCGCUUUCAAUUUGGAAAUUGAUUAGCAUAUUAUGGAGAAUGCAGCAUACCAUGAUCCACUCAUUGCAUUCUUUUUUAUUUUGGUCAUUUAUCAUUCUAAACUUCAAUUCUUUCAAGCUACCUUUUUUUCUUUUAAAAUGCCAAAAAAAGUCUCAAAUCGCACACGAUAUUUUGAAAAGUACUUAUUGAAACUUUUUCUUUCUUUGGUAGUGUAGUUCGUACUAUUUUGCCUAAACGGUGUCCAGCAGUCCACUGAGAGUUAGAUACAAAUCGUCGAUGAUGUUUUGCAAGAGGGCUAUUCAAGAAGAUUUUGGC